rnacentral:rRNA from 1 species
AAUGAACGCUGGCGGCGUGCUUUACACAUGCAAGUUGAGCGAGGCCGGUAGCAAUACCGAGUCGAGCGGCGAACGGGUGAGUAACGCGUGGAUGACCUGCCCUUGAGUGGGGAAUAACCCGGGGAAACUCGGGCUAAUACCGCAUAAGACCGAGAGGUGAAAGCGGGGUCGCAAGAUCUCGUGCUCAUGGAGGGGUCCGCGUUCGAUUAGCUAGUUGGUAGGGUAAUGGCCUACCAAGGCGACGAUCGAUAGCCGGCCUGAGAGGGUGAUCGGCCACACUGGAACUGAGACACGGUCCAGACUCCUACGGGAGGCAGCAGUGGGGAAUUUUGCGCAAUGGGCUAACGCCUGACGCAGCAACGCCGCGUGGAGGAUGAAGGUCUUUGGAUUGUAAACUCCUGUCAGCAGGGAAAAAGGGAGGAGUGCUAAUACCACUCUGACUUGAUUGUACCUGCAGAGGAAGCCCCGGCUAACUCUGUGC